rnacentral:lncRNA from 1 species
AAUGGCAAGAGAAUAGGGGUGUGGAGGAGGAGACAUUAAUUCGUGACCUCCCAAAAGAUCUCCGAAGGGACAUAAAGCGCCAUCUUUGCUUAGCUUUGGUUAAAAAAGUAUGUAUCAUUCAUAAACUGUCAUUAUUCUGCAUCUAAUUAUUCUUUAUACAACUAUGCUAUAUGGGUAAUGACACUUAGACACUCAAAUUGUAGAUACACGUCAUUCGAGUGUCUGCACUGCACGGAUGUAUACCAAUCAUUUUCCUUACUAUAUUGUACACGUGUAAUGAACAUUUUAUGUUCUAUUUGCUUUAGGUUCCACUGUUUGAAAAAAUGGAUGAGCAGUUGUUGGAUGCAAUGUGCGAUAGACUGAAGCCAGUCCUUUUUACAGAGAAGAGUUGCAUUGUUCGCGAGGAAGAUCCAGUUGAUGAGAUGCUAUUCAUAAUGCGCGGAAAAGUUUCUACUAUGACAACAAAUGGCGGCAGAACUGGUUUCUUUAACUCCUUAGAUCUAGUAGCUGGUGACUUCUGUGGAGAGGAGCUUCUAACAUGGGCUUUGGAUCCUAAUUCCUCCUCAAAUCUACCAACUUCAACAAGAACAGUCCAAACAAUUUCAGAAGUCGAAGCCUUUGCUCUCAUGGCUGAUGACUUGAAGUUUGUUGCUUCCCAAUUUCGACGUCUAUUUAACAGCAAACAGCUCCAGCACACUUUCAGGUAAGGCUUGAUAUUUUUGUUGUACUUUUUUCCACUGAAGUUCACCAUAAAACACUAAUCACUACAAUUUGUGCAUCAAUACCGCACCAGAUAGUAGGUAAAAUUUGCAGAUAUUGUUCAAAAAUCAAAAUCAUCAAUGUUUAGGUUCAUACUUUUGAGAAUACUACGAUUAUAUAGUUGGGUACUCCACAUGACAUUGUCGAGAUUUUGUGUUUGUCGCACUCUCUCUCUUCAUAUGUAUUAAAUAGUUGAGAUCCUCUUAAUAUUUAUGAAGACAAUUGUCUCUGUGUUUUCCUUAAUCCUUCCUAACUUUAUUCAACAAUAUGUUUUUCCAGGUUCUAUUCCCCACAAUGGAAAACUUGGGCUACAUGUUUCAUACAAGCAGCUUGGCAUAGAUAUUGUAAAAAGAAAAUUGAGAGGACAUUGCGUGAAGAAGAAGACAAACUAAAAGGUGUUCUUGCAAUUGAGAAUGGAUCCACUCUAAGCCUUGGUGCAACCAUAUAUGCAUCAAAGUUUGCUGCAAAGGCAUUACGAAACUUGAGAGAAAAUAGCAGACAAAGCAGAACGCCACAGAGACUGCUACCUCUGUUACCUCCAAAGCCAGCUGAGCCAGAUUUCACUGCUCAGAAACACUAGGGGUACAAUAGUUUUGAGCUAUUUAAUGCAAGUUCAGCUUUCACUAACUACUAAAUAGGAGCACUCAAUUGUGUGCAUAUAUAUGUAACUUGAGUGUUGCUUAAGAAUUCCUUCAAUAACUAUGUGUUAUGUAUUGGCAAGAGUUCCCUUUGAAAAUAUAAUAUUUUUUGAACAUGUAAACUAUGCAGCUUCCAUUACACAAGUAAAAUCCAUUUUAUAUUAGCCUUAUUUAUAUUACAAAGUUUUUAUCCUUAAACUGAUGCCAGCAUUUGAGUUUAAUUAGAGCUACCUUAGUUAACAGCGAUAUCUGUUACUUUCUUAGCCCCAGUGAAGAACCAAUCUUUCACAAUUUUUAAUGAGAACUACUUCAUGGAGCAGUACCAAAUAAAGAGAAAUAAAAGAAACCAAAGGAAAAAGGAAAAAAAUAGAAAUUUGGAGAAAAAUAUAUAGAUAUACUUUUAUUCUGUUGGCAAGGGAGGUUUCAUACAUAUAUCUUUAUUUAUGCAUCACUAAUAGUCAUACAUCCCUGGUUGACAUUUAUUUAGUUUUCUACUUCCAUGUAAGAUUCCCUUGUCGUGUUUCCAGUGGCAGCACUUCUCUGUGAACAUUAGAAGCAGGAUUAAAAACUCAUAUCCAUUUCUAGCAAAGGAUUUGUUGAAGUAUACAAUAAUAAUCCAGUUAAUUCCGAGGCUUCUGCGGAUCCGUCCACUAUUCAAAGAAGUAACUAGAACUUCUGGCAUAUUGACAGAGACAGCAUGGGCUGGAGCUGCUUUUAAUCUAUUUCUGUAUAUGCUAGCAAGCCAUGUAAGUUUUUUUACUACAUAUUUAGAUCCACGUAUCUAUGUUUCUAUUAUUGUGCCAAGUUUUAUGAUCCCCAAAUACUAGUAUGUUUGAUUCCACGUUUGCAAGUGUUAGAAUUGACUAUCCUCUGUCAAAAUCAAUUUUUCGGUGUUUGAAUGUUUCCGUACACAAUUGAUUCUAGCUCCAAAGUCAGGUGGAGUGAAGCUAAAAAUGAAAGCUUUAACGGUGGGCAUGGUCGAUUAUGAGAUUUCGCAAACAUUUGCGUACAGAAAUCACUUUUCUCAUAAUUGUAUCGAAAUAAUACAUCACUUCACUUUACCAUAAUCAAUUUUAUGAAAACCAAUUAUAUCUACAAUCAAUUUUGACAACGCUAAUCCAAACACGCACAUGUGGUAUAUCAGUUGGUUGGAGCUUUCUGGUAUCUCCUUUCAGUAGAAUCAGAGGUGCGGUGCUGGCGUCGUGAGAUGAAGAAUGCUACGCUCUUUCAUGAGUCCUACUUGGGCUGCAAACCACGCGAUCCAGCUAUCUUUCAACUUCUAAAUCGUACUUGCUCAUUGAUUGACCCUGAUCAAAUCAAUGAAGAAAACAUCUUCAACUUUGGAAUAUAUUUCGGAGCUCUACAAUCACGUGUGAUAGAUUCAACAACUGAUUUUCCUCCGAAGUUCUUCUACUGCUUUUGGUGGGGUUUGCGGAAUUUAAGGUUAGUGAAAAAUCACGUGUGCUCUUGUCUUCAUAUUUUAAUGUAACAUGCACGUUUUAUGAACUAUAGAACUUUAUAUCCUUCUCAAAGAAAAUUUUCAAUGGAAGUUAUUAUUUUCUGUGAUAUUUUCUCAAAGAAAAAGUAGAGAAAUAUAUUAAAACAUGAGACUGACUAAAAGAAUGGCAGAAUUGAAAAAAAAAAUUUGUUGUUUUUUGCAGUUCUCUUGGACAAGACCUCAAGACAAGUACUUAUGUCCCAGAGAUAAUCUUUGCAAUCUUCAUUGCCAUCUUUGGAUUGGUCUUAUUCUCAUUACUUAUUGGGAACAUGCAGGUAACUCUUGGUCUGGACUUGACCAGAGAAUUUUGGGUUGAAAACCAGCUACGUCAGACUUAUUUUAUUUAUUAAUGAGCUCAUUGAUUGUGAAUUUGUAAUGAACAUUGUUGCAGGAAUAUCUGCAAUCUACUACUGUUAGAGUGGAAGAGAUGAGAGUGAAGAGACAGGACGCAGAACGGUGGAUGUCUCACCGUAUGCUACCUGAGAACUUGAAGGGAAGAAUUAGAAGUUAUGAACAGUACAAAUGGCAAGAGAAUAGGGGUGUGGAGGAGGAGACAUUAAUUCGUGACCUCCCAAAAGAUCUCCGAAGGGACAUAAAGCGCCAUCUUUGCUUAGCUUUGGUUAAAAAAGUAUGUAUCAUUCAUAAACUGUCAUUAUUCUGCAUCUAAUUAUUCUUUAUACAACUAUGCUAUAUGGGUAAUGACACUUAGACACUCAAAUUGUAGAUACACGUCAUUCGAGUGUCUGCACUGCACGGAUGUAUACCAAUCAUUUUCCUUACUAUAUUGUACACGUGUAAU